rnacentral:rRNA from 1 species
UACGGGGGGGGUAAGCGUUGUUCGGAAUUACUGGGCGUAAAGGGCUCGUAGGCGGCCAACUAAGUCAUACGUGAAAUCCCUCAGCUUAACUGGGGAACUGCGUGUGAUACUGGAUGGCUUGGAUUUGGGAGAGGGAUGCGGAAUUCCAGGUGUAGCGGUGAAAUGCGUAGAUAUCUGGAGGAACACCGGUGGCGAAGGCGGCAUCCUGGACCAAUAUUGACGCUCAUGCACGAAAGCGUGGGGAGCGAACAGG